rnacentral:rRNA from 1 species
GACGAACGCUGGCGGCGUGCUUAACACAUGCAAGUCGAACGGAAAGGCCCCUUUGGGGGUACUCGAGUGGCGAACGGGUGAGUAACACGUGAGUAAUCUGCCCUUGACUUCGGGAUAACUUCAGGAAACUGGGGCUAAUACCGGAUAGGAAUCCUUGCUGCAUGGUGGGGGUUGGAAAGCUUCGGCGGUUUUGGAUGGACUCGCGGCUUAUCAGCUUGUUGGUGGGGUAGUGGCUUACCAAGGCUUUGACGGGUAGCCGGCCUGAGAGGGCGACCGGCCACAUUGGGACUGAGAUACGGCCCAGACUCCUACGGGAGGCAGCAGUGGGGAAUAUUGCACAAUGGGCGGAAGCCUGAUGCAGCAACGCCGCGUGCGGGAUGACGGCCUUCGGGUUGUAAUCCGCUUUCAGCAGGGGCGAAGCUUGUGGUGACGGUACCUGCAGAAGAAGCACCGGCUAACUACGUG